CCUACGGGGGGCUGCAGUGAGGAAUCUUGCGCAAUGGGGGAAACCCUGACGCAGCAACGCCGCGUGAGUGAGGAAGGUCUUCGGAUCGUAAAGCUCUGUCAGAUGGAAAGAAAUGUUCGGAAGUUAACAGCUUCCGGAUUUGACGGUACCAUCAGAGGAAGCACCGGCUAACUCCGUGCCAGCAGCCGCGGUAAUACGGAGGGUGCAAGCGUUGUUCGGAAUCAUUGGGCGUAAAGAGCGUGUAGGCGGCCGCGUAUGUCAGAUGUGAAAGGCCCGGGCUCAAACUGGGAAGUGCAUUUGAAACUGCGUGGCUAGAGUAAGGGAGAGGAAAGUGGAAUUCCUGGUGUAGAGGUGAAAUUCGCAGAUAUCAGGAGGAACACCUGUGGCGAAGGCGGCUUUCUGGCCCUAUACUGACGCUGAGACGCGAAAGCGUGGGGAGCAAACAGGAUUAGAUACCCGUGUAGUCAC
rnacentral:rRNA from 1 species